GAUGAACGCUGGCGGCGUGCCUAAUACAUGCAAGUCGAGCGAACGGACGAGGAGCUUGCUUUUCUGAUGUUAGCGGCGGACGGGUGAGUAACACGUGGAUAACCUACCUAUAAGACUGGGAUAACUUCGGGAAACCGGAGCUAAUACCGGAUAAUAUUUUGAACCGCAUGGUUCAAAAGUGAAAGACGGUCUUGCUGUCACUUAUAGAUGGAUCCGCGCUGCAUUAGCUAGUUGGUAAGGUAACGGCUUACCAAGGCAACGAUGCAUAGCCGACCUGAGAGGGUGAUCGGCCACACUGGAACUGAGACACGGUCCAGACUCCUACGGGAGGCAGCAGUAGGGAAUCUUCCGCAAAGGGCGAAAGCCUGACGGAGCAACGCCGCGUGAGUGAUGAAGGUCUUCGGAUCGUAAAACUCUGUUAUUAGGGAAGAACAUAUGUGUAAGUAACUGUGCACAUCUUGACGGUACCUAAUCAGAAAGCCACGGCUAACUACGUG
rnacentral:rRNA from 1 species